AACGAACGCUGGCGGCAUGCCUAACACAUGCAAGUCGAACGAGACCUUCGGGUCUAGUGGCGCACGGGUGCGUAACGCGUGGGAACCUGCCCUUAGGUUCGGAAUAACUCCCCGAAAGGGGUGCUAAUACCGGAUAAUGUCUUCGGACCAAAGAUUUAUCGCCUUUGGAUGGGCCCGCGUUGGAUUAGCUAGUUGGUAGGGUAAAAGCCUACCAAGGCGACGAUCCAUAGCUGGUCUGAGAGGAUGAUCAGCCACACUGGGGCUGAGACACGGCCCAGACUGCUACGGGAGGCAGCAGUGGGGAAUAUUGGACAAUGGGCGAAAGCCUGAUCCAGCAAUGCCGCGUGAGUGAUGAAGGCCUUAGGGUUGUAAAGCUCUUUUACCCGGGAUGAUAAUGACAGUACCGGGAGAAUAAGCUCCGGCUAACUCCGUG
rnacentral:rRNA from 1 species